rnacentral:sRNA from 10 species
GUGCGGGCCUAGGUCCACACACUCCUCACACCCCCCGGCCCGACGAGCUCGGGCUUU